AGCGAACGCUGGCGGCAGGCCUAACACAUGCAAGUCGAGCGGGCGUAGCAAUACGUCAGCGGCAGACGGGUGAGUAACGCGUGGGAACGUACCUUUUGGUUCGGAACAACACAGGGAAACUUGUGCUAAUACCGGAUAAGCCCUUACGGGGAAAGAUUUAUCGCCGAAAGAUCGGCCCGCGUCUGAUUAGCUAGUUGGUGAGGUAACGGCUCACCAAGGCGACGAUCAGUAGCUGGUCUGAGAGGAUGAUCAGCCACAUUGGGACUGAGACACGGCCCAAACUCCUACGGGAGGCAGCAGUGGGGAAUAUUGGACAAUGGGGGCAACCCUGAUCCAGCCAUGCCGCGUGAGUGAUGAAGGCCCUAGGGUUGUAAAGCUCUUUUGUGCGGGAAGAUAAUGACGGUACCGCAAGAAUAAGCCCCGGCUAACUUCGUG
rnacentral:rRNA from 1 species